CAUAUAGAGCGGUUGCAUCGCGCGUCAUCCACCCACGCACAAAAGUUUUUGGAGGACAACCUCCAAAAACACAGGUGUAAACAAUGUAAAAGUACACGAAGAACUCGACACCAUUUGGCACAGUAUAACUAUGAUCCAGGAUACAGAGUGCUCUAGUAUUGUAACUGUAAGUCUACCUUAGCUUACAGAGAAGGCUGAGUGUACUAGCUGAACAAGCUGAGCUCUGUGUGAAGAUGGCUACCAUAAUUAUGUUCAAGUGAAGGUAGGAGUGCCCUGAUCAUCAUGCGUCAGGCAUCGAUCGAUCAUUGCUGGCUGGGAGGAUUGUGUGGGACACGAUCACCACAGUAUUAAAUUAAUGUAAGUGCUCUUUGUGUUACUAUGCUGUAAUUACAGCGCCAACUCUGACUGAAUUCCAUUAUUUAAGUCCUCCAACGGUUGCUGUAAUUAAAAGAUGCAAGGCAGUAGGCUUUUCUUUUAUUAUGCACAUGCAUUUGAUUCGUACCGUAGAGCUGCUGUAAAAUACAGAGACAAAAAAUCAAACCGUACAGUAGAUCCACUGCAUACUAUAUACUAAAAGAUUGCACUCAACACUAUAAUAGCUGUGCACUUAAGCGCCACCAUAAUAUUUUUGGGAAGUUUGUGUAAAACUAUGCUCGAGCUCACUGCACACUCAGUUUGAGGUGAAAAAAUAAGUGUACAUGUAACAGUUUCCUUUGAUAGAGUGGUGCGGGGGCCAUUAUUUACCUGCUACACUUAGCUAUAUAUACAUAUCUCAAGUAUUUUUCUAUCUCAAGUAUUUUUUUGUCUUAAGUAUAAAACACAGUUGAGUUCAAGCUAGCUGUGACCUUUGCUUGUUCAUCAUUCGUUCGUGGUUAAUUCUAAAGCUAUGAUUAUUAUUAUGUCUGAACUAAAUUAUGUGUGCUGUGCAAGGCGCUGACUAUGGAGGAGAUAGGACAUGCACAUGUGUCAUCAGUCAAUUGAACGUAUGGCAUGCAAUGUAAUGUAAUUUUAUCGCAAAUGUAUUUGAGUGGUAAUAUACAGUGGAACCCCUCUAUAACGGACACCUUUGGGGAACAAUGUUUUGGCCUUUAUACAGAGGUGGCCUUUGUUGAGAGGUUGUUUUGUACACAUUUGGGACCUGGGUGCCUGGCCGUUAUAUAGCAACUGGCAUUUAUUCAGAGGUGGUUUGUUCACAGAGGUUCCACUGUACUACUACUUUAUAGCUAGUGCACAUCAUUUUCCUAAGUUACGUUGCCUUGUUAAUUACACAGGCGCACGUCAUCUCGUAUAAUUAUACAGUACCUCCUUUGAGUGCUCAUGAUUACAUAAUUUCUCCCACACAGAGAAUGAUGGAGACAAAAGUCAAGAUAAAAUUGACAUUGAUUAUCAUGUGUCAGUACAUGUAUUAAUUAUGUGCUCAGUGUAUAUACCUUUACCGACAUCGUCUCUGGUCUCUGAAACAUUAAUAGUAAUUUUAAUAGGUUGAGCAAUAAUGAAUGUUGGUUGACUCAAGAUUGACAAAAAAGACAACAAAAAACAACACUGUUAAUUAUUGAGCUUAGAAGAUGACAGAAGCAAGCAUCCAAAUCUUUGUACCAUAUCAUCGAGAGGAGGAGCACACCCUGUAUGUGUUGUGUGUGCAUACAUCAGAAGGUAAUCGGAACAAAAGUAUGCUAUAUGCUCCCCUGCCAUUAUGAUCAUUUAGAUGUACUGUGUAUGUACUUCAUAUAAAGCUGCUGCUGACUAGAUCUAAAAGAAAUUGACAUAGAUCUAUCCAUAAUUAUGAUAUGAUGCACUCCUGAUUCAUAUGAUAAUUUAUAAGCAUGAGAGCUUACAUCAAACUCAUUUCCUCUGCAGCAGUUCAGGUAGGGGUCCUUUGAUCGUCUAUAGCUAUUAACGUUGCUUAAUUCGCUUUCUCUGCUAAGAGAGUAAAGCUAAACUGAGAGUUCUGUGCAGCC